rnacentral:rRNA from 1 species
AUUGAGCGCUGGCGGUAUGCUUUACACAUGCAAGUCGAACGGUAGAGGGGCAACCCUUGAGAGUGGCGAACGGGUGAGUAAUACAUCGGAACGUGCCCAGUCGUGGGGGAUAACGUAGCGAAAGCUACGCUAAUACCGCAUACGACCUGAGGGUGAAAGCGGGGGACCUGCAAGGGCCUCGCGCGAUUGGAGCGGCCGAUGGCAGAUUAGGUAGUUGGUGAGGUAGAGGCUCACCAAGCCGACGAUCUGUAGCUGGUCCGAGAGGACGACCAGCCACACUGGGACUGAGACACGGCCCAGACUCCUACGGGAGGCAGCAGUGGGGAAUUUUGGACAAUGGGCGCAAGCCUGAUCCAGCCAUACCGCGUGCAGGCAGAAGGCCUUCGGGUUGUAAACUGCUUUUGUCAGGGAAGAAAUCUUCUGGGCUAAUACCCUGGGAGGAUGACGGUACCUGAAGAAUAAGCACCGGCUAACUACGUGCCAGCAGCCGCGGUAACAC